UCUUUAAUUGUUGCAGUUAAAAAGCUCGUAGUUGGAUUUUGGUUAAGAGGGCGCGGUCGGCCGUUUGGUCUGUACUGCGUUGUCUUGACUUCCUGAUGAGGACAUGCUCUUGGUUAACGCUGAGACAUGGAGUCAUCGUGGUUACUUUGAAAAAAUUAGAGUGUUCAAAGCGGGCUUACGCUUGAAUAUAUUAGCAUGGAAUAACACUAUAGGACUCCUGUCCUAUCUCGUUGGUCUCGGGAUGGGAGUAAUGAUUAAGAGGAACAGUUGGGGGCAUUCGUAUUUCAUUGUCAGAGGUGAAAUUCUUGGAUUUAUGAAAGACGAACUUCUGCGAAAGCAUUUGCCAAGGAUGUUUUCAUUAAUCAAGAACGAAAGUUGGGGGCUCGAAGAUGAUUAGAUACCAUCCUAGUCUCAACCAUAAACGAUGCCGACUAGGGAUUGGUGGAUGUUAAUUGAUGACUUCACCAGCACCUUAUGAGAAAUCAAAGUUUUUGGGUUCCGGGGGGAGUAUGGUCGCAAGGCUGAAACUUAAAGGAAUUGACGGAAGGGC
rnacentral:rRNA from 1 species